rnacentral:lncRNA from 13 species
GCGUGUGCAGCUCAUCUGCAUCACCUCAGAGACCCCGGUGCUGUUCUUUGCCAUGGCUGUCCCCAGGGAGCUGCUUGAGAGCCAGGCCAAAGCGUCUGGGCCGAUGAGAGGCUGGUGUCUCAGCACUGGGUUCAAACAGGUGUGUUCUUAGGCAGUCUCAUCACUGUUUGGACAUCUGGAGCAGGCAGGGGCCGCACAUGGCCCGUGACAGCUUUGAAUGUGACCCAACACAAAUUCGUAAACUUUCCUAUAACAUGUGGCCCAAGGAAGCCAAGAGAUUGAACAUCCCUGACGUGCACUGUGCUUCACACUGCAGCUGUGUGGCGCAGCCUCUUCAUUCUGUGCUACAAACCUGCACGGCGUGUGACUGUUCUGAACCCCGUAGGCAACUCCAACACAACGAACCCAAGGCUGAUGCAGAAGAUGAUCAUCUCCGAUCACAGCCCUUGACCGGAGCGCGCUUCCCGCAUCUGGAGCCACCGCAUCUGUCCCCUCUGCAGUCUGCUGGGAAUUGGUCUGAAAUCACAUGCGUCCCACUCAGCUACAUUUACAUUUCCUUCUUUUGCUGUUUUUAUACCAGAGCAGUUGAAACCACUCCCAGGAUGAAUUUCUAAACUUAGACUGUCUCAUCCUCAAACGGCAAGAGAGAGUGAUGUGUCUGUGAAUCUGCUGAAUGGGCCGAGGGGUGUCUUUAAAAGAUUGUAUGGGGGAAGAGGCAGGCCCUGCAGAAACCUAUGGACUGGGCUGCUAAAAUGUACGAGCUUCCCAGGAAGCCACCUUUUGGGAGCCUGGACUAGCCCAGAACCUUUUCUGAGUAGCAGCUGACAACCAUGGUCUCUCCCGUGAGCCCACUUCAACCCAGCAAUGAAAGGAAACUUGCUACACUCCAGCAGUAGGAGUAGGAAAUCCCACCAUCCCUACAAAAUAAAGGCUACACAUUUAAGAUCCUCUCA